GAUGAACGCUGGCGGCGUGCUUAACACAUGCAAGUCGAACGGGAAACCUUUUAUUGAAGCUUCGGCAGAUUUAGCUGGUUUCUAGUGGCGGACGGGUGAGUAACGCGUGGGUAACCUGCCCUAUACAGGGGGAUAACAACCAGAAAUGGUUGCUAAUACCGCAUAAGCGCACAGGGCCGCAUGGUCCGGUGUGAAAAACUCCGGUGGUAUAGGAUGGACCCGAGUUGGAUUAGCCAGUUGGCAGGGUAACGGCCUACCAAAGCGACGAUCCAUAGCCGGCCUGAGAGCGUGAACGGCCACAUUGGGACUGAGACACGGCCCAGACUCCUACGGGAGGCAGCAGAGGGGAAUAUUGCACGAUGGGGGAAACCCUGAUGCAGCGGCGCCGCGUGAAGGAAGAAGUAUCUCGGUAUGUAAACUUCUAUCAGCAGGGGAGAUAGUGACGGUACCUGACGAAGAAGCCCCGGCUAACUACGUG
rnacentral:rRNA from 1 species